AGUGAACGCUUGCGGUAGGCCUAACACAUGCAAGUCGAACGGCAGCACAGUAAGAGCUUGCUCUUACGGGUGGCGAGUGGCGGACGGGUGAGGAAUACAUCGGAAUCUACUUUUUCGUGGGGGAUAACGUAGGGAAACUUACGCUAAUACCGCAUACGACCUACGGGUGAAAGCAGGGGAUCUUCGGACCUUGCGCGAUUGAAUGAGCCGAUGUCGGAUUAGCUAGUUGGCGGGGUAAAGGCCCACCAAGGCGACGAUCCGUAGCUGGUCUGAGAGGAUGAUCAGCCACACUGGAACUGAGACACGGUCCAGACUCCUACGGGAGGCAGCAGUGGGGAAUAUUGGACAAUGGGCGCAAGCCUGAUCCAGCCAUACCGCGUGGGUGAAGAAGGCCUUCGGGUUGUAAAGCCCUUUUGUUGGGAAAGAAAAGCAGCAGGUUAAUACCCCGCUGUUCUGACGGUACCCAAAGAAUAAGCUCCGGCUAACUUCGUG
rnacentral:rRNA from 1 species